rnacentral:lncRNA from 10 species
CAAAUGGGAAAAAAAAAAAAAAAAAGGGAAGUAGCAGGUGGAGAUAAUUUAAAUAGCACAGGGACCCCUGCUUACCAAUCCCUCCACAGAGUUUUGCCCUGGAGUAAGCAUGACAUCAGGGUGCUUGCUGCUUCCUCCAGUGGCCCGAGCUCUGUGUGCCUUUGUUGAACAAGGUUUUCGUGGAGCUGAGGUGACUCUCAUGAACAGAGAAUACCUGUCCUUCAUACAGAGAAGCACCCAAAUGCAAACAUCUACUUUUUCUGGUGUUCAACCAGGUAAACCUCUGUUUAGCAAGAAACAUCAUCCCCAGAGUGGGGACUGUCUUGUCCUUUCAGAAGCUAGUACCCUAAGCAAGACUCAUAAGGAAGGUCGGGCCUCCCUAGGUCUCUGUUUCUUCUGAACAGUGAUGAGCUAGGUGCAGAGAGAGUUAAAGGUCACUAUGCAGCUGACAAGUGUGACCAGUUCCCAGUAAAUUCCACUUGGCUGGGGUUUCAGAGGUGAGCAAGGCAGGCUUUUUACUCAUUACACAAGAAUCUAGACAUCCCUUUAAUUGGGUGGCAUUCUGGGUGCUAAAAGGAAGGGGCUUUGAGAGGCAAAGAUGAUGGGAUAUCAUAAAUUUUUUUGUUUCCUUUUUAAUAUAGCGCAGCUCCUAUACUUAAGAUUUAACUUUGAAAUGUAGCAUAGCUAAGAUCUGGUCCAAAAAGAUUUCUGAUAUCUCCAUGAAUCCUAGUUAGGGAUUGAUAGGAAAAAAAAAAUCUUGUGCCACAGCUUCAUGCUAUUUUUAGGAACCUUUCUGAAACCAGUGGCAGCCCAAGUUAGAGCCCAGCAUUAAGUCCACCUCAUGCACAUCAUACAGUUGCAGCUUAUGGUAAAAGCUUUCUGCAAAGCUUUUCUGCUCCUGGGUUAAGGCCUUCCAGCAUCAGUCACAUGUAAUUAACAGCUACAUUGUGUGCUUACUUUUUGCUAGAUGUUUCAUAAACAUUAUCUCAUAUAAACCUCACAAUAACUAGGUAUUAUUAUCCCGUAUCCCUGUUUUACAGCUGUGGAAAGUGAAGUGAAGGAUUUUUGUCAUACAGCCAGUAAGUGCCAGAACUGACUUGAACCUAGCUCUCUGUCUUGAUUCAGGAACUACUGCUCUUUCCAUUGGUGGCUCCUGGCUAAUCAAUGUGAUAGUCUUUG